rnacentral:rRNA from 1 species
GAGACCGGCGCACGGGUGCGUAACGCGUAUGCAAUCUACCUUUUACAGAGGGAUAGCCCAGAGAAAUUUGGAUUAAUACCUCAUAGUAUAUAGAGUUGGCAUCRACACUAUAUUAAAGUCACAACGGUAAAAGAUGAGCAUGCGUCCCAUUAGCUAGUUGGUAAGGUAACGGCUUACCAAGGCWACGAUGGGUAGGGGUCCUGAGAGGGAGAUCCCCCACACUGGUACUGAGACACGGACCAGACUCCUACGGGAGGCAGCAGUGAGGAAUAUUGGACAAUGGGCGCAAGCCUGAUCCAGCCAUGCCGCGUGCAGGAUGACGGUCCUAUGGAUUGUAAACUGCUUUUGUACGAGAAGAAACACUCCUACGUGUAGGAGCUUGACGGUAUCGUAAGAAUAAGGAUCGGCUAACUCCGUGCCAGCAGCCGCGGUAAUACGGAGGAUCCAAGCGUUAUCCGGAAUCAUUGGGUUUAAAGGGUCCGUAGGCGGUUUAGUAAGUCAGUGGUGAAAGCCCAUCGCUCAACGGUGGAACGGCCAUUGAUACUGCUGAACUUGAAUUAUUAGGAAGUAACUAGAAUAUGUAGUGUAGCGGUGAAAUGCUUAGAGAUUACAUGGAAUACCAAUUGCGAAGGCAGGUUACUACUAAUGGAUUGACGCUGAUGGACGAAAGCGUGGGUAGCGAACAGGAUUAGAUACCCUGGUAGUCCACGCCGUAAACGAUGGAUACUAGCUGUUGGGAGCAAUCUCAGUGGCUAAGCGAAAGUGAUAAGUAUCCCACCUGGGGAGUACGUUCGCAAGAAUGAAACUCAAAGGAAUUGACGGGGGCCCGCACAAGCGGUGGAGCAUGUGGUUUAAUUCGAUGAUACGCGAGGAACCUUACCAAGGCUUAAAUGUAGAUGAC